rnacentral:rRNA from 1 species
UGGGGAAUAUUGGACAAUGGGCGCAAGCCUGAUCCAGCCAUACCGCGUGGGUGAGGAAGGCCUUCGGGUUGUAAAGCCCUUUUGUUGGGAAAGAAAUCCAGCCGGCUAAUACCUGGUUGGGAUGACGGUACCCAAAGAAUAAGCACCGGCUAACUUCGUGCCAGCAGCCGCGGUAAUACGAAGGGUGCAAGCGUUACUCGGAAUUACUGGGCGUAAAGCGUGCGUAGGUGGUCGUUUAAGUCCGUUGUGAAAGCCCUGGGCUCAACCUGGGAACUGCAGUGGAUACUGGGCGACUAGAGUGUGGUAGAGGGUAGCGGAAUUCCUGGUGUAGCAGUGAAAUGCGUAGAGAUCAGGAGGAACAUCCAUGGCGAAGGCAGCUACCUGGACCAACACUGACACUGAGGCACGAAAGCGUGGGGAGCAAACAGGAUUAGAUACCCUGGUAGUCCACGCCCUAAACGAUGCGAACUGGAUGUUGGGUGCAAUUUGGCACGCAGUAUCGAAGCUAACGCGUUAAGUUCGCCGCCUGGGGAGUACGGUCGCAAGACUG